rnacentral:tRNA from 1 species
UUAGAUGAAGCCAAAAAGAGGCUUGUCACUGUUAAUGACAGAAGUGGGGUAUCCCCCAUCUAAG